ACUCACAUAGCUCAAUGGUAAGAGCAGGAAUCUUAUACAUUCAAGGUUAGGGGUUCAAGUCCCUUUGUGAGUA
rnacentral:tRNA from 1 species